GCCGGCGUGAUGGAAUUGGCAGACGUGCGAGACUCAAAAUCUCGUGUCCGCGAGGACGUGCGGGUUCGACCCCCGCCGCCGGCACCA
rnacentral:tRNA from 1 species